rnacentral:rRNA from 1 species
CCCGCUGAACUUAAGCAUAUCAAUAAGCGGAGGAAAAGAAACUAACAAGGAUUCCCCUAGUAACUGCGAGUGAAGCGGGAAAAGCUCAAAUUUAAAAUCUGGCGGUCUCGCGGCCGUCCGAGUUGUAAUCUGGAGAAGCGUCUAUCCGCGUCGGACCGUGUACAAGUCUUCUGGAAGGGAGCGUCGUAGAGGGUGAGAAUCCCGUCUUUGACACGGACAACCGAUGCUUUUGUGAUGCGCUCUCGAAGAGUCGAGUUGUUUGGGAAUGCAGCUCAAAAUGGGUGGUAAAUUCCAUCUAAAGCUAAAUAUUGGCGAGAGACCGAUAGCGAACAAGUACCGUGAAGGAAAGAUGAAAAGCACUUUGGAAAGAGAGUUAAACAGUACGUGAAAUUGUUGAAAGGGAAACGUUUGAAGUCAGUCGCGUCGGCCGAGACUCAACCUUGCGCUCGCGCUCGGUGCACUUCUCGGUUGACGGGUCAGCAUCAAUUUCGACCACCGGACAAAGGUUGGGGGAAUGUGGCAUCCUUCGGGAUGUGUUAUAGCCCUUGAUUCACAUACGGUGAUUGGGAUUGAGGAGCUCGGCGCCUCGCGCGUCCAGGAUGCUGGCAUAAUGGCUUUAAGCGACCCGUCUUGAAACACGG